rnacentral:lncRNA from 1 species
AAUCUCCCUGCCUCUACCUCUGAGAGUGUUGGGAUUAAAGGCGUGCGCAACCACACCAGCUUUUUGUUUUGUUUUGUUUUUUCAGCUCUGUUUCUUUACCUCUCCAACUGAGCUUUAAGAGAGAGCAGAGCCAGGCAAAGAACCCAGUGCAAACACUUUGGCUUUCUUUUUGUCUUACUUUGUAACCUCAGGAAACAUGGAACUUCCUACACAGCUCAGAAUCUGUAGUGAUCCUCCUGCCACAGCAUCACUGCCUUUUAAAGACAUUGUCCAGUCCAGUCCAAUUUGAGGUUAUAUUGUGCUAUAAUGGGAGGACAUCAGGGAGAGGAUAGAAGAGAGUGUUGGAUCCCCUAGAACUGGAAUUAUAGACGUUCGUUAACUGUGUAUGGGUGCUGAUAACCCAACUUGGAUCUGCCAUCACUUUAGCCCCAAAUUUUCUUGUAUUUUAAACAAAUAGAGCCCCAAAUGAAUACACAGCUCA